UGGAAAAAGUCAUCUCAAAAAAAGAGAACAAGAGGCAGUACUGACUGCCAAAGACCUAAUCAGUAUGAAUAUAAGUAAGUUGUCAGAACUAGAAUUCAGAAAAAAAAUAUUACA